AUGCUCGCUUCAACAGCACAUAUACUAAAGUUGAAAAUGAUACAGAGAUUAGCGUGGCCCUUGCUCAAGGAUGACACGCAAAUUUGUGAAGCGUUGCAUAAUUUU
rnacentral:snRNA from 1 species